GGAUGGACAACGUUUGAAAUUCCUAUCGAAAUCGACACUUUUUCGUAAAUAAUUGCGAUUUUUUAUGUGUAUUCUGGAAAAUAACCAUAUUCGGCAUUACCAGGCGGGUAAUUUUGUUUUGUACAAGGUCACCAUGAUUUGUAAUCGAAUUUUAUUCUAAAAAACGACCCUUAGCUGAUCCAUAACUGUGGGGUGUCUGUACCAAAUAUUUAUUCGAAAAUAGUUCUCAAAUAAUUCGUUAGAUGCCGAUUCUCAGUAGUGCUACUCGCCACACACAAUUUUUUCGCGUUACCUUUUAGCAAUUUUUCGUGCAUAGACACUAGCGCAUGUGCGUUACUGUGUGGUGAGUAGCGAUUCAGGCCAUGCCAAGGGGGUGGUCACUCUACGCAGUGUGCCUUGCGCAGCUAUGGCACAUUUCGGCACACUGACUGGCACACCUUUCCAAUGUGGGUUGCUAUAAAAUGACAGUGAACUGAAAUUUCCAUCUCAGCAACCAUUGAGUUACCUGAAUUGUUUGCUAUAUGUCAUGAAUUCGAGAAAUUUUCACGUUGGCAUCGGCUUCAGCAGGAAUCUCCCAACACUAUUCAACAUGUUGUUUCUGUAGGGAACGUAAGGGUUAAGACGGUGUUAAGAUGGUAACUAGGAGUAAUUAGGAAAAGAGAGGAGAGGAAGCAGAGGCGCAAGAGAAAUCGUGAUCGUAGGACCCAUAGAUUUUACAAAUGAAAAUUCAGUUUGUUGGUUUGUUUAACUGUGAAUAGACGUGUUUGAUUUGUGGAAGUAAAAAAAAAAACGUGUUCAGUUUCAUUCGGAAUGGAAAAUCACUACAAUGGCGCAAAGGCUCCCAGGGGGCAAAGAAAAAAAUUUUGUCAAACCAAUCCACACUCUUGGCAACACCGGGAGAAAGCACACAAAUAAAAAAAAAAACUAGUGAGCGAAGUUGCCUACACACACAUGUUUCAGGAAGGCUCUCUCAGCCUUCUUUUUUCAUCUCAAGCACAAAUGGAAAACGGUUCCCGUAUGACAACGUGGUAGCGGAAAAGAGAAGGGUGAUUGAACGUCAGAUGAUCUAGUACACAAUUGUAUCAUCAUCAUCAUCAUCAUUAUUUACGUUGAUAUCGGUAUGCGGCCCUGUUGGCCAUGCAUGCUUGUGUUCUAGUUUUCAUUGAUGACGAAGUCCCGUGCAGUGAAAUUAAGAAUGUGAAACCGUUAUGAAGAACCCAUGAAAGGGACAGAUUUUCUAAUUUCUCGCUUAACACUUGAAAGCAACCCAAACGACGAUCAUAAAACUAAUUUUCGAAGUUUGUAAAAUUUAUAAGUUAAUUACCCAUUACGUUUUUUACAACAUAACACGUUUUCAUACAACUUUUAUUGAAAUUAUGUCUGUCCUACAAUGUCAAUAUAUAAAAGAAAAA